UGGGGAAUAUUGGACAAUGGGGGGAACCCUGAUCCAGCCAUGCCGCGUGUGUGAAGAAGGCCUUAUGGUUGUAAAGCACUUUAAGCGAGGAGGAGGGUACUGGUAUUAAUACUACCAGCUACUGGACGUUACUCGCAGAAUAAGCACCGGCUAACUCUGUGCCAGCAGCCGCGGUAAUACAGAGGGUGCGAGCGUUAAUCGGAUUUACUGGGCGUAAAGCGUGCGUAGGCGGCUAAUUGAGUCGGAUGUGAAAUCCCCGAGCUUAACUUGGGAAUUGCAUUCGAUACUGGUUAGCUAGAGUGUGGGAGAGGAUGGUAGAAUUCCAGGUGUAGCGGAGAAAUGAGUAGAGAUCAGGAGGAAUACCGAUGGCGAAGGCAGCCAUCUGGCCUAACACUGACGCUGAGGUACGAAAGCAUGGGGAGCAAACAGG
rnacentral:rRNA from 1 species